AUUGAACGCUGGCGGCAGGCUUAACACAUGCAAGUCGAGCGGGGUGAUGGUGCUUGCACUAUCACUUAGCGGCGGACGGGUGAGUAAUGCUUAGGAAUCUGCCUAUUAGUGGGGGACAACAUCUCGAAAGGGAUGCUAAUACCGCAUACGUCCUACGGGAGAAAGCAGGGGAUCACUUGUGACCUUGCGCUAAUAGAUGAGCCUAAGUCGGAUUAGCUAGUUGGUGGGGUAAAGGCCUACCAAGGCGACGAUCUGCAGCGGGUCUGAGAGGAUGAUCCGCCACACGGGGACGGAGAACCGGCCCAGACUCCUACGGGAGGCAGCGGUGGGGAAUAUUGGACAAUGGGGGGAACCCUGAUCCAGCCAUGCCGGGUGUGUGAAGAAGGCCUUAUGUUUGUAAAGCACUUUAAGCGAGGAGGAGGCUCUUUUGGUUAAUACCCAAGAUGAGUGGACGUUACUCGCAGAAUAAGCACCGGCUAACUCUGUGCCAGCAGCCGCAGUAA
rnacentral:rRNA from 1 species